GCCCCUAUAGCUUAAUUGGAUAGAGCACCCCGGUCCUAACGGGGCGAUUCCCAGUCCGAGUCUGGGUAGGGGCG
rnacentral:tRNA from 1 species